AUUGAACGCUGGCGGCAUGCUUUACACAUGCAAGUCGAACGGUAACAGGCCGCAAGGUGCUGACGAGUGGCGAACGGGUGAGUAAUGCAUCGGAACGUGCCCAGUCGUGGGGGAUAACGCAGCGAAAGCUGCGCUAAUACCGCAUACGAUCUAUGGAUGAAAGCGGGGGACCGUAAGGCCUCGCGCGAUUGGAGCGGCCGAUGUCAGAUUAGGUAGUUGGUGGGGUAAAGGCUCACCAAGCCAACGAUCUGUAGCUGGUCUGAGAGGACGACCAGCCACACUGGGACUGAGACACGGCCCAGACUCCUACGGGAGGCAGCAGUGGGGAAUUUUGGACAAUGGGCGCAAGCCUGAUCCAGCAAUGCCGCGUGCAGGAAGAAGGCCUUCGGGUUGUAAACUGCUUUUGUACGGAACGAAACGGUCCCGGUUAAUACCUGGGGCUAAUGACGGUACCGUAAGAAUAAGCACCGGCUAACUACGUGCCAGCAGCCGCCGCGGUAA
rnacentral:rRNA from 1 species